GAGUUUGAUCAUGGUUCAGAGCGAACGCUGGCGGCAUGCUUAACACAUGCAAGUCGCACGGGCAGUAGCAAUAUUGUCAGUGGCGGACGGGUGAGUAACGCGUAGGAAUCUAUCUUUGGAUGGGGGACAACCGUGGGAAACUACGGCUAAUACCGCAUAAUGCCUGAGGGCCAAAGCUUGAGAGAGCGUCUGAAGAGGAGCCUGCGUCUGAUUAGCUAGUUGGUGGGGUAAAGGCCUACCAAGGCUUCGAUCAGUAGCUGGUCUGAGAGGAUGAUCAGCCACAUUGGGACUGAGACACGGCCCAAACUCCUACGGGAGGCAGCAGUGGGGAAUAUUGGACAAUGGGCGCAAGCCUGAUCCAGCAAUGCCGCGUGGGUGAAGAAGGUUUUCGGAUUGUAAAGCCCUUUUGGCGGGGACGAUGAUGACGGUACCCGCAGAAUAAGCUCCGGCUAACUUCGUGCCAGCAGCCGCGGUAAUACGAAGGGGGCUAGCGUUGCUCGGAAUGACUGGGCGUAAAGGGCGCGUAGGCGGACUGCACAGUCAGGCGUGAAAUUCCUGG
rnacentral:rRNA from 1 species